rnacentral:rRNA from 1 species
UGGGGAAUCUUGCACAAUGGGCGAAAGCCUGAUGCAGCGACGCCGCGUGGAGGACGAAGGCCUUCGGGUCGUAAACUCCUGUCUGGGGGGAUGAACACUGACAGUACCCCCGGAGGAAGCCCCGGCUAACUACGUGCCAGCAGCCGCGGUAAUACGUAGGGGGCGAGCGUUGUCCGGAAUUACUGGGCGUAAAGCGCGCGCAGGCGGCCUAUUAAGUCAGGUGUUAAAAUGCGGAGCUUAACUCCGUAUCGCACUUGAAACUGGUAGGCUUGAGUGCAGGAGAGGGAAGUGGAAUUCCCAGUGUAGCGGUGAAAUGCGUAGAUAUUGGGAGGAACACCAGUGGCGAAGGCGACUUCCUGGACUGUAACUGACGCUCAGGCGCGAAAGCUAGGGGAGCAAACAGG